GCCAGACUGGUGUAGUGGUUUGAGCAUUGGACUAUGACUCUGGAGGCCAGGGUUUGAAUCCCAGUUCAGCUG